GGCGGCUACCAGCAGCCCACGCGGAGGACGAGUUGCGGCUCCAGUGGCCCCACGUAAGGGUGGUAAAGUUUCUUAAUUUUUUUGAUUUAUUUGGGUUGAUACUAUUAUAAUUUUUAAGAGUUGAAGAUAUACCGUUCACCCUCCCUCGAUUUGGACACAGCUUCGUGCUCCCUGCAGAUUCCAUGGCGCCGCCGUAGGGACCCUAGCGGCUGGCCGCCCCCGCCCGGCUCCCUGGCCGCCGCCGCCCAGUUCCCCUGCAAGCCGCCGCCCUGCUCCCCUUGAAGCUGGCGCCCUGGUCGCGGCCGGCCGCCCCCGCCCGGCUCCCUGGCCGCUCGAGGCCUGCAACGCGGUGACCGCGCUCACUGUUGGCGCCGGUGCGCGGCUUUGGAGGCUGGCCCUCUGCUGCUGCCACAGGCUGGCCACCGUCGCCGUCGACUCCUAGGGGAAGAGAACGUGCCCGCUUCAGGUGUAACCUGGGUCGCCAUGGCACCAAGAACACCCGGGUGCAGAGCCGAUGGAGGUGGUCCUUGACAGUGGCAGCGCCUACACCUACUUGCCUGAACUUCUUCAUUCUCAACUCGUUACUGCGCUGAAGGCGCCUCUCAGCAAGUCAUCAGUUGACCGAGCGGGGCAAUGGAUCGAACGCCCUGCUGUUCAGUCGACCGCGCAGUAGGGCAGAGACGUACGUGAUGAUCGAGCGCGACGACGGGAUGAAGGGCGGCGCGCCAUGCUGUUCAGUCGACCGAGCGGUACGGCAAUGGAUCGGUACGUACAGGUGGUGAUGAUCGAGGGCGACGACGGGAUGAAGGGCAAUACAGUCCACACGGAAAAGUAAAAGGAAUACAUACCCUGCUGGUGGGCCCAAAGUGUUCAAAGAUAUAUGGGAGUAGCAUAUCUCCAAUAUUAAAAGUUGUAGUAGUGUUUCUCCAACUCUUGAAAGUUGCAAUGGUAUGGUUCCAAUUAACCCUAA